rnacentral:miRNA from 10 species
CGGUUCUUCAUCAGGCAGCCU